GGCCACCCACUGAAUCUGGCCUUCAGCUUUGUCUCUCCCACCUCCUUGCAGCAGCCAGUGUCCACAUAAAGGGCAACAGGAGGAUCAACCUCGGCCGCCUGGCCUGCAGCCAUAAGAUCCAAUGCUGGACCCUCACUGGCAGUAAGGACACUAAUGAGCACCUGACCAACUUCGCUGCCUACAGAAGUGAGGCACUGUGCAGUGCCCUUGGCAGUUGGCCAAUAAUCCCGACCGGACCGUCCCCCAGGCCCCGCUCACGCAGGAGACGGAUAACCCGUAUGUCACAGGCAUAUCUUUGAAAAGUCCAGCUGCAUUGCCUGACCCCAUGACAGGUAGCUGGUUCUGCACUUGGUGCAGAUCAGGGUCUCCGUCACCACGUUGUAAUACCGGUCGAUAUCAAGGACCUGGCGUACCCUCCUGUGCAGACCACCGCUGGCCAGUGGAUGCCGAGUGCAAGCAGGACUAGUACAGAGCAGUCGUACCUUCCACAGCCUGUAUGGCAUCCACAGCAGAAGAGCGUGGGUGAAGAAUCUGCUGGGGGUUGGGGCCUGGUGGUAUACCACAGAUGGCUGUGGAGGGUAAUACCACAGCUGAAGGUUGUCAAGCAGCUCCAGCUUUCCACUCGAACCACGCUUGAACAGUGCUGCAGACACCCACUUGUGGUCCUGCUUUGGCAUCGUCUUCGGCCACAGUAGUGGGAGCGCAUCAGAAUCCUCUGGCUGAAAGGGGUUCUGCUAAGGUAAAAAAAAAAAAAAAGACCCUGCCUAAAUAAACAGAAGCUGAAUAAAAACAUAAAAUUAUGUAAGCAUGUUUAAAGUUAAAAUGUCAUUUUACCAAGUUCCUCACAACAGCAGGCUCUGCCCCAGGUUGAGGAGGUGCUGGUUGGUCCACAGACGGUGGUAACGGAGGAGCAAGGAAGAAUGUGUCUGGGGAUGGGCAAACAGGUGGAUGAGGGCAGGGAGAUGGAUGAGGAUGAACAUCAAGGGAUGGGUAGGUGGCUGUGGCUGGAGCUGAACCAGGAAACUCUCGUACCUCUGCAGUGACCUGUACCUAUAGAGUUAUACAGUUAUGAAGAAGUUAUUGUGUGUGUUUAUAUGCUAUUAUCAUACAUUUGUAUGAAAAGAAAAACUUAUCAUAUUGUCUUUUAUGUUCACCUGGGAAGAUUUGCUGGUGAGGUUGAGGUUUGGUUUUGCGGCUGAUUUUUAUAUUUUCUUUUAAGUUUGAAAGGUCAAGAUUUGGUGGCAAGCAUGUGACAGCCGCAAAACCAAACCUCAACCUCACCAGACAAAACCUCGCCAUCACUAUAUAAUAAGGUAUUCAAAGGCUUGAAUGAUAAUUGGAGAAUGACUAGUAACAUUGGUCAUUACAGUUUAAGGUCACACUUACCAUUGACAAGCUGGGGAUGGUUAUUUUAGUCCUUUUUGAGGGACUCAGCACAUCUCCGGUGUUGGAUGGACUGCACUGGGGAGCAGUAGAAGGGGACACUUGUGGAGCGACAGAGGGUACCUGAAAAAUACAGCACACACAUAUAUAGUCAGUCAGUCAGACAGUCAGUCAGACAGACAACUGGCAGACACAGAUGGAACGUUAGGUUUACCACAGAUAAAGUGUGUGUGCUCUGGCCAGCAGUGCUUGUUGAAGCAGCAGGAGCAGGAGGAAACUGUGGAGUCACAGGAAACACAAUAAUCAAUAUUUGCAGGGUGCAUGUACAUGUAACUGAAGUUAUGUCUAGAGUGUGAAUCCACUAAGAUGUUUCAACAAUCCUUUUGUCUUACUGUACAUGGAUGUAAAGAAUAAUUAACCAGCGAUUUUAUAAAAACAUUACCAUCACCUUCUGUGCCUGGUUAGUACCUGUUAGUGCCUGUUGCAUGCAUAUUUGAAAACAAUAAAUAUAUUAUGUUAGCGUGUUUUGGUUAGUUUAAGCUUCGAUUAACUGGUGUAAUUUUACCUUAUGAUAAAAGUAAUGCCAUUUCUUCUGCAGAGGAACAGACCUGUUGCCUUGAUGGGCAAACACAAACGAUCCAGGUUGGAGUUAAAACACUGUAUUCCGUACCAAAUGAAAACACUCCCAGAAUAAUCACACUCCACAGCUGAUACAAGUCUAAAGUAGUAGUAAAGGAGUUAUCUUUGAUCAGGAUUUGUCAUUUAACUCCCACAUAAAGCAAACCUCUAGGACUGCCUUCUUUCAUUUACGUAAUAUUAGAAAAAUUAGACACAUACUAUCACAGACAGAUGCAGAAAAACUAAUCUAUGCAUUUGUUGCUUCAAGGCUGGAUUACUGCAACUCUUUAUUAUCAGGUUGCCCCAAUAAGUCCAUUAAAACGCUUCAAUUAAUUCAGAACGCUGCAGCACGAGUACUGACAGGAACUAGAAAAAGAGAUCACAUCUCUCCUGUACUAGCUACUCUGCAUUGGCUCCCUAUAAAAUGUAGAAUUGAAUUUAAAAUCCUCCUCCUCACCUAUAAAGCUCUUCAUGGUCAGGCCCCUUCAUAUCUUAAAGGGCUCAUAGUACCCUAUUACCCCACUAGAACAUUACGUUCUCUAAAUGCAGGGCUACUUGUGGUUCCUAUAGUCUCUAAAAGUAGAACAGGAGCCAGAGCCUUCAGUUACCAAGCUCCUCUCCUGUGGAACCAGCUUCCAGUUGUGGUUCGGGAGGCAGACACCCUCACCACAUUCAAGAGUAGGCUUAAGACGUUCCUCUUUGAUAAAGCUUAUAGUUAGGGCUGGAUCAGGUGAGUCCUGAACCAUCCCUUAGUUAUGCUGCUAUAGGCCUAGACUAUCGGGGGAUUUCCCAUGGUGCACUGAGCUACUCUCUUCCUCUCUCUUUCUGCACUCAUUCAUGUCCCAUUAAAGCAUGUUACUAACUUCACUUCUUCCCCGGAGUUCUUGUGCUUUCUCGUCUCGCAGGUUCUCAUGGAUCCUGGUGGAGCCUCCUGCCAUGGUCCUGCUUGACUGCCAUUGCCAAUACUGUUGUUGCUGUGCACCUGUCCGUCUGUCUGUCUCUCGCUCUCUCUCUCUCUGCCUCUCUCUCUCUCUCUCUCUCUCACCCCAACUGGUCGAGACAGACGACCACCCACCUAGAGCCGGAGGAUCUGUCCUAGGUUUCUGCCUUUUAACAGGCAGUUUUUCCUUGCCCUUGUCGCCAAGUGCUUGCUCAUGGUGGUACUGUUGGGUCUCUGUUAUUAAUGUUAAAGAGUUCGGUCUAGACCUGCUCUAUUUGAAAAGUGUCCUGAGAUAACUUCUGUUAUGAAUUGGCGCUAUACAAAUAAAAUUGAAUUGAAUUGAAUUAAAGUCUUAUUGCUACAGAUGACUGUACCCCA